AAAUUAUAAAUGACAAUGCCUAGCUACAGCUAAAACCAGCAACAUUAAGGAUAGUGAGAAUAGAUUCAAAAAUUAUGCUAGCUACUGAUGGAAAUUUAGGGCAAGAUGUUUUGGUUAGACAGACAGUGGGGAGAAAACUGAAAUUCUCAAGACCUCUUUUCCUCACUAUUCACAGGCAAACUUGCUCCCAGGCUUCUCCAUGUACUGCCACAGUUUGCCAUAAGGAGAUGGCAACCAAGAGGCAAGAGCAACAGGUUAGAAACUGGUCAGAAAAGCUGAUUUUCUAGAAAUCUCUGAAGGUUUUUGGGAUUCACCUGAGGGUGCUGGUGUGGUGACUGUGAGGCUGCUAUCUGUCAUUUAUCAAAACUCAGUCAGGGAAAACAAGACAGUCAGGGAAACAAGAUUUCGAGCCACUGCCCUGCAUUCUUAAUAGAUGGCUUUCUGAGCAAGGUUGUGCACUAGGCUGCUUGUGUGGAUCCUCAAUGGAGCUGAUUUAAUACCAUGAUUAAAUUUUUGUAGUUCACUUUUCCCCCCAAGCCUACAUGUUGCUCUCUGGAAUUGCCAAUGAUUCAUUUCUAAUAGCUUAAUGCUGUUGGAGCAACAUUCCAGUGACAAGAUAUGUAAUCUUUAGCUGAUUUCUCCUAGGAAAUGUUAUCUUCUGAAAGGAGAAACUAGUUUUUCACCCUUACUGGUUCUUUACAGUGAUCCUCCUUAGAUCCUUGGAAUAAACAAAUUAUGUAAGAAUUAAAUAGACCAAAAUGGAAUGCUGAGAGGAUUUUUACUUUUGCAUUUUUUAAGGUGCAAGUUAAACAUCAGAUGUGGGAUGUUUCUGAUGUAAUCGCAGCUUUAUAGAAGUGAGAAGCAGUAAACUGAGGAUUUUUUGUUGAAUUUAUAGAUCCUAUGCCAUUUUAAAACUUUCUGUAGCUUCUUUCACACUGUCUAACCUGAAAAGCCUUUCCAAGCCAGUUCAACAACAUCACAAAAUAUUUUUGAAUCGUCUUGCAAUUAUUUGAGCAAUAUGUUCAUGCUUCUAGGUUAUGGGAAAAUCAUGUCUGUCAAAACCCUGCUUUUUAGAAUUUCCUCCUUUCCUGUGAGACUAAGCCAAAGAGAUGUGAUUUCAAUGAUUUAUGGUAAUAGAUAAUCUGGCCUAAUCUAUUUUGGUUAUACACAGAGUAGAGUCUGUGUGUCAUUUAUGCUGUGGUCUUUCCUUAAAGCUCUUUACAAAUAAGUGCCCCAAGGCAGGGAAAAGAAUGAGUUAAGCUGAAGGGAACCAUCUGCUUCAAUUUCAAGUGUUACUUUAAAGGUUUGAAAACUUUGUAAAUGUCACGGUUUUCUUUUUGUGGUCCUUAGCUCAAUGGGAGAUGUCAUCAGAUGACAAUGAGCUUCAAGCUGGUUUCCUAUUACUUUUGACAGGUUGUUCAUUAAGCUAUAAUAAAUUGAUAGAACCGAGGGCUGUAAAAGGUCUGUGACUUUCUUCCAAAGAUGUACUCUGUCUUCAUUUGAAGGUCUUGGUGCUUCAUCACUCUUGCAGUUGAAAAUUAGUUGAGUUUCCAAUUUGAAUGUGUUCAACUUGACCUGUAUUUCCUUGCUUCCUGGUUUUCCUGGAAUGACUCAGCAUCCUUGUAGGUCUCUUCUUGAAAAGGUAGGUAAUAUGACUUUAAUUUUUCAUGUUUGUCUCUUCAUUUUUGUGCCAUGACUUUCCAAAUGUGGGCACCAGAACUGGAAGCAUCAUUUCCAUUUCAGUGCUAUCAAUAAAUGAAGUUUUCCCAGGUUCAUAUACUGAAGGAAUAUAAUAAACUUACUUGUGACUUUAUAGCAUUGAGACGAAUGAUAAGAUAAUUCUGUUUAUCAUUUGUUUGUCCAUUUUAACUCUAGAUUCAUUUUAAGUCACUGUUUUGCCAAUACACCCUUCACUGUGUAGGCAUGAUUUGCACUUUUCUUUCUAUGGGUAUAAUGUGAAAGUGAUGUUAUUAAAAUAUUUUGUGGGCUUAAUUGUUUCAUAUGCUGAAUUACUUCAGAUCAUUCUAUAUAACUCUUCCAUCUUUGCUCUUCAUCAUCCCGCCUGUUUUUGUCAGCUGUAAUUGUUCUAAGAUUGCAUUAGCCUUAUUUCAAAAUCGUUUAUGAAAAUGUUAUAUAUUCCAAAAUCCAGUGCCAAUCCUGAGGGAUCAUAUUUAAAUUACUUGAGUUCCACAGUGUUUUCCCUUUCAUGACUAUUUCUAGGGGUUCGUGGGCCACUUUUUAGUUCACUUAUUAUGUGCUUUAUUAUUAAAGCAUAGUGUUGAUUUUUAGGUCAGAUGAUCGGUUGGAUAUGCAUAAGUCAGAUGCCUUAUAAAAGUUUAAAUAUAUCCUCACAAAUAUCUUUUUUAAAGAAAAUAUUGACCUCAUCACAUAAGUAAAUAAGAUUUGGUCUUAAGGUCCAAGGUCUUUGACCUUAAGGUCCAUAAGUUCUGCUUUAUAUAAAAUUAUCAUCCCUGGCUGUAAUUAUAUACCACCGUUGGACUUAAAUAAGAAGCUUUCCAUGUUAAAUUAACUGGCUUGUAAUCAUGCUGAUUGUCUUACCUGCUCUUCUUAUGUAUGAGCACCAUAUAGCAAUCUUCUGAAUUUGUUAAAAAUAUACAGCAGAGGCAGUUACCUUGUUAGGAAGCUGUAGCCUAUCCCUGAAGUGUAAGAAAGUUUUUGAGCAUGUUGUCAAAAUAUUUUAUCAUUGAAAAAGGCUAAUCUGGUGAAAUUACUUUUGUCACAUGAGACCUUUAUUACUUUAAUACUGUUUUCAAUGGAAGAAAAAAUUAAAUGAAGUACUAUUAGUUAAUAGUUAAUGUGUUUGCUUAAUAUGACCUUAAUCAAAGCAUCUCCUCCCCUCAGUGAAAUCCUUUGUCUCAUGUAAUAAAGCAAAUUAAAUAUAAUUUACUUCAAAUCACUAGUUAAAGCACCAUGACAAAACAGGAAGCAGGAGAAUGAUAUAAUUAUUGGUUUUGUCCACAUUUUCAUGCCCCUUAGAAUUCAAAUCAACCUGUGUAUGAUUGAAAUUCAGAGCAUGUGUCCUUGCUUCAAGGACAGACUGAGCAUCUGGUAAGAGUGGCAAGCUCAUUCUUUGUAUUGGCAGAAAAUAAAGCUGAAUCUACUUUAACCAGAUAGAGGCAGGGAAAUUCAACAACUUGUGGGUGAGCAGAAAGAGACAGAGAGAGACAUCAUCAGAGGUGGCUGAGGGGCAGCCUGGAGCUGAGUGGCAAUGCACGGUCCCCAGAGACAGCUGUAAUCGAGCUGCAGCUGUCACACAGGUGAAGGAAUUAUCUAAACCAAGAGAUUUGAUGCCUUAUCAAGAUAAAACAGAGCACCAAUGGGAAAUCCUUAAACAAACAUGAGAAGAGGCAAAGGAAGAGCAUGGCAGAAGUGUGCAUGGGGAAUAUGAACCCAGAGCUCCUCCAGGUCUGGAAAGGGGAAGGAAAUCUCCAGAAUGACUGCUGCUGCCUGGAGUAAGACCAAACUGUUGACGAGCAAGGCUGUAUUUCUGGGAUCUCUAAAUGCAAGUGCAGGUUUUGGUGCUGCAGUUAUACCCAAGGCUGAGCCACAGCCACUUCAUGACAGAGCCACAUGUAAACCACAGCUUCUAGAAACCCAAAACUGAGAAGAUUUCUUGGUGGUACCUACCCACACAACCUUUGUAAACCUGCCUGCCUCUUUUAAGCUCAAGUAUCUUCAGGCCUCAGACCUCAGAAAAUAUCUUCAGGAGAACUACAGGGUCCUGCCCAAAUUGUUAGCUCCUAAUGGGUUCAUUGGCUCAAAAGAAGAGAAUCCUCCAACUUAUUCACAAGAACUGUUUUUAGUGACCUAGUUAAACAAAAAUAAAUAAUGCUCUGAGAUGCUGCUCCUUUGCUGGAACCUUUGAUGAUCACAUCAUUUUACCCCAUGUUUUACUUCAGUUUUGUACAAAGAGUUAUUAAAUAAUCUAAGAACCA